GAUGAACGCUAGCGGCAGGCUUAACACAUGCAAGUCGAGGGGUAACAGGGUAGCAAUACUGCUGACGACCGGCAAACGGGUGCGGAACACGUACGCAACAUACCCGCUACUGGGGCAUAGCCUUCUGAAAAGGAGAUUAACACCCCAUAAUAUCGAUGAGUGGCAUCACUUGACGAUUAAAAUUUAUUGGUAGCGGAUUGGCGUGCGUCCUAUUAGGUAGUUGGUGUGGGAACGGCCUACCAAGCCGACGAUAGGUAGCUGGUGUGAGAGCACGACCAGCCACACGGGAACUGAGACACGGUCCCGACUCCUACGGGAGGCAGCAGUGAGGAAUAUUGGUCAAUGGACGCAAGUCUGAACCAGCCAUGCCGCGUGAAGGAUGAAGGCGUUCUGCGUUGUAAACUUCUUUUAUCAGGGAAGAAACCUCUUUAUUCUUAGAGAGCCGACGGUACCUGAGGAAUAAGCACCGGCUAACUCCGUGCCAGCCGCCGCGGU
rnacentral:rRNA from 1 species